GUCCCUGUGGAGCAAUGGAUAGUGCAUUGGACUUCUAAUCCAAAGGUCUUGGGCUCGAAUCCCACCUGGGAUG